AAUCAAAAGUUGAGCAGAAGAUUAAAUACAGCACUUUCACUGCCUACAAAUAUGUCAAAAAAGGAAGUAUUUAUCUAGUCAGGGUUGAUACUGGUGAAGGUCAUUACAUUGAUGUGAAGAUAGACUACAGGUUUGGUAAAGCUAAUUUUAAAACAGCAGCUGCCAGUGGAAUGGACACCCCACUCAGUUUUUAGGUACUGUGAGAUAAUAGACAUAAAUUAUGAAUUCAAAACUGAUGUCUUUAACUAAUUGUAUUUGAUUAAAAAACACAAAACUUUGGACUUUAGCAAUAAAA